rnacentral:rRNA from 1 species
GAUGAACGCUGGCGGCGUGCCUAAUACAUGCAAGUCGAGCGAACGGACGAGAAGCUUGCUUUUCUGAUGUUAGCGGCGGACGGGUGAGUAACACGUGGAUAACCUACCUAUAAGACUGGGAUAACUUCGGGAAACCGGAGCUAAUACCGGAUAAUAUUUUGAACCGCAUGGUUCAAAAGUGAAAGACGGUCUUGCUGUCACUUAUAGAUGGAUCCGCGCUGCAUUAGCUAGUUGGUAAGGUAACGGCUUACCAAGGCAACGAUGCAUAGCCGACCUGAGAGGGUGAUCGGCCACACUGGAACUGAGACGCGGUCAAGACUCCUACGGGAGGCAGCAGUAGGGAAUCUUCCGCAAUGGGCGAAAGCCUGACGGAGCAACGCCGCGUGAGUGAUGAAGGUCUUCGGAUCGUAAAACUCUGUUAUUAGGGAAGAACAUAUGUGUAAGUAACUGUGCACAUCUUGACGGUACCUAAUCAGAAAGCCACGGCUAACUACGUG